GAUGAACGCUGGCGGCGUGCCUAAUACAUGCAAGUCGAGCGAACGGACGAGAAGCUUGCUUCUCUGAUGUUAGCGGCGGACGGGUGAGUAACACGUGGAUAACCUACCUAUAAUACUGGGAUAACUUCGGGAAACCGGAGCUAAUACCGGAUAAUAUUUUGAACCGCAUGGUUCAAAAGUGAAAGACGGUCUUGCUGUCACUUAUAGAUGGAUCCGCGCUGCAUUAGCUAGUUGGUAAGGUAACGGCUUACCAAGGCAACGAUGCAUAGCCGACCUGAGAGGGUGAUCGGCCACACUGGAACUGAGACGCGGUCCAGACUCCUACGGGAGGCAGCAGUAGGGAAUCUUCCGCAAUGGGCGAAAGCCUGACGGAGCAACGCCGCGUGAGUGAUGAAGGUCUUCGGAUCGUAAAACUCUGUUAUUAGGGAAGAACAUAUGUGUAAGUAACUGUGCACAUCUUGACGGUACCUAAUCAGAAAGCCACGGCUAACUACGUG
rnacentral:rRNA from 1 species